UUGAGAAACUAAGAGGCUCAACAAGUUAAGGGGUUGUUUGGUAAGGAAAGAUUAUUCCAUGAUCAAAGAUGAUGUGGAAAGAGAUAAUGAGAUCAUUGUAUUAGAUUGCAUAAUGAUGAUUCUAUGUGAUAGUGAUUCUAAAUUACCAUAAUUUUCUAAAUCACUUUGGUACGAAGGAUGGAUUGAAGAAAAUUUGGAUCGAGG
rnacentral:lncRNA from 1 species